GAGUUUGAUCUUGGCUCAGAUUGAACGCUGGCGGCAUGCCUUACACAUGCAAGUCGAACGGCAGCACGGGAGCUUGCUCCUGGUGGCGAGUGGCGAACGGGUGAGUAAUGCAUCGGAACGUAUCCUGGAGUGGGGGAUAACGUAGCGAAAGUUACGCUAAUACCGCAUAUUCUGUGAGCAGGAAAGCGGGGGACCUUCGGGCCUCGCGCUCUUGGAGCGGCCGAUGUCGGAUUAGCUAGUUGGUGAGGUAAAGGCUCACCAAGGCGACGAUCCGUAGCAGGUCUGAGAGGAUGAUCUGCCACACUGGAGCUGAGACACGGUCCAGACUCCUACGGGAGGCAGCAGUGGGGAAUUUUGGACAAUGGGGGCAACCCUGAUCCAGCCAUGCCACGUGAGUGAAGAAGGCC
rnacentral:rRNA from 1 species